CCUACGGGAGGCAGCAGUGGGGAAUAUUGCACAAUGGGCGAAAGCCUGAUCCAGCGAAGCCGCGUGAAGGAAGAAGGCUUUCGGUAUGUUAAAUUCUUUCUGCAGGGAAGCAAAUGCCGGUACCUGACUAAGAAGCCCCGGCUAACUACGUAACAGCAGCCGCGGUAAGACGUCGGGGGCAAGCGUUAUCCGGAUUUACUGGGUGUAAAGGGAGCGUAGGCGGUUUAGCAAGUCAGAAGUGAAAGCCCGGGGCUCAACGCCGGGACUGCUGUUGAAACUGUUGAACUAGAUUGCAGGAGAGGUAAGCGGAAUGCGUGGUGUAGCGGUGAAAUGCGUAGAUAUUAGGAGGAACACCAGUGGCGAAGGCAGCUUACUGGACUGUAAAUGACGCUGAGGCUCGAAAGCGUGGGUAGCAAACAGGAUUAGAUACCCCUGUAGUC
rnacentral:rRNA from 1 species